GUGCUGGCUUUGGUAGCACAUAUACUAAAAUUGGAACAAUACAAAGAAGAUCAGCAUGGUCUCUGCACAAGGAUGACACACAAAUUCGUGAAGCGUUGAUAUGCAUA
ensembl:snRNA U6 U6 spliceosomal RNA